UAUAAUUUAAUGUAUGAUGCAUAAAGGAUUUUGAUUCCUUUAGACUUAGUUUGAAUCUAAGGAUUAUAA
rnacentral:tRNA from 1 species